CGUAGAGAAAUCGAGUCUUAAUAGGGCGUUUAGUUGCUGGGUAUAGACCCGAAACCAGGCGAUCUAUCCAUGAGCAGGUUGAAGGUUGGGUAACACUAACUGGAGGACCGAACCCACUGUCGUUGAAAAGCCAGGGGAUGACUUGUGGAUAGGGGUGAAAGGCUAAUCAAGCCUGGUGAUAGCUGGUUCUCCCCGAAAGCUAUUUAGGUAGCGCCUCGGACGAAUACCAUAGGGGGUAGAGCACUGUUUCGGCUAGGGGGUCAUCCCGACUUACCAAACCGAUGCAAACUCCGAAUACCUAUGAGUACUAUCCGGGAGACAGACUGCGGGUGCUAACGUCCGUAGUCAAGAGGAAAACAAUCCAGACCGCCAGCUAAGGCCCCAAAAUCAUAGUUAAGUGGGAAACGAUGUGGGAAGGCAUAGACAGCUAGGAGGUUGGCUUAGAAGCAGCCACCCUUUAAAGAAAGCGUAAUAGCUCACUAGUCGAGUCGGCCUGCGCGGAAGAUGUAACGGGGCUAAAACUAUGUGCCGAAGCUGCGGAUUUGACAUUAGUCAAGUGGUAGGGGAGCGUUCUGUAAGCCGAUGAAGGUGUAUUGAGAAGUAUGCUGGAGGUAUCAGAAGUGCGAAUGCUGACGUGAGUAACGACAAAACGGGUGAAAAACCCGUUCGCCGAAAGACCAAGGGUUCCAGUCCAACGUUAAUCGGGGCUGGGUGAGUCGACCCCUAAGGCGAGGCCGAAAGGCGUAGUCGAUGGGAAAAUGGUUAAUAUUCCAUUACUUCUGUGUAAUGCGAUGAGAGGACGGAGAAGGCUAAAUCAGCCUGGCGUUGGUUGUCCAGGUGAAAGGAUGUAGGCAUGUAUCUUAGGCAAAUCCGGGGUACUCUAUGCUGAGAUCUGAUAGCAAGCUGUACUUGUACAGCGAAGUGGUUGAUGCCAUGCUUCCAGGAAAAGUCUCUAAGCUUCAGUUACACAGGAAUCGUACCCGAAACCGACACAGGUGGUCAGGUCGAGUAGACCAAGGCGCUUGAGAGAACUCUGCUGAAGGAACUAGGCAAAAUGGUACCGUAACUUCGGGAGAAGGUACGCUGUUGUUGGUGAUGGAACUCGCUUCCUGAGCUGACGACAGCCGCAGAAACCAGGCCGCUGCAACUGUUUAUUAAAAACAUAGCACUCUGCAAACACGAAAGUGGACGUAUAGGGUGUGAUGCCUGCCCGGUGCUGGAAGGUUAAUUGAUGGGGUUAGCGUAAGCGAAGCUCUUGAUCGAAGCCCCAGUAAACGGCGGCCGUAACUAUAACGGUCCUAAGGUAGCGAAAUUCCUUGUCGGGUAAGUUCCGACCUGCACGAAUGGCAUAAUGAUGGCGGCGCUGUCUCCAGCAGAGGCUCAGUGAAAUCGAAAUCGCUGUGAAGAUGCAGUGUACCCGCGGCUAGACGGAAAGACCCCGUGAACCUUUACUGCAGCUUGACACUGAACUUUGACCUUACUUGUGUAGGAUAGGUGGGAGGCUUUGAAGCUGGAACGCUAGUUCCAGUGGAGCCGUCCUUGAAAUACCACCCUGGUAAUGUUGAGGUUCUAACUCUGUCCCGUGAUCCGGGACGAGGACCGUGUCUGGUGGGUAGUUUGACUGGGGCGGUCUCCUCCUAAAGAGUAACGGAGGAGUACGAAGGUGCGCUCAGCGUGGUCGGAAAUCACGCGUAGAGUAUAAAGGCAAAAGCGCGCUUAACUGCGAGACCCACAAGUCGAGCAGGUACGAAAGUAGGUCUUAGUGAUCCGGUGGUUCUGUAUGGAAGGGCCAUCGCUCAACGGAUAAAAGGUACUCUGGGGAUAACAGGCUGAUACCGCCCAAGAGUUCAUAUCGACGGCGGUGUUUGGCACCUCGAUGUCGGCUCAUCUCAUCCUGGGGCUGAAGCAGGUCCCAAGGGUAUGGCUGUUCGCCAUUUAAAGAGGUACGCGAGCUGGGUUUAGAACGUCGUGAGACAGUUCGGUCCCUAUCUACCGUGGGCGCUGGAAAUUUGAGAGGAUCUGCUCCUAGUACGAGAGGACCAGAGUGGACGAACCUCUGGUGUACCGGUUGUGACGCCAGUCGCAUCGCCGGGUAGCUAUGUUCGGAAGGGAUAACCGCUGAAAGCAUCUAAGCGGGAAGCCUACCUCAAGAUAAGAUUUCCCUAGGACUUUAUGUCCUCUAAAGAGCCGUUCGAGACUAGGACGUUGAUAGGUUGGAUGUGGAAGCAUAGUGAUAUGUGAAGCUGACCAAUACUAAUUGCUCGUGAGGCUUGACUAUACAACACCCAAGCAGUUG
rnacentral:rRNA from 1 species